AUUGAACGCUGGCGGUAUGCUUAACACAUGCAAGUCGAACGAUGAGAAAGAGCUUGCUCUUUCGAUUAGUGGAGGACGGGUGCGUAACGCGUAGGCAUCUACCUAUGAGUGGGGUACAACUUAGGGAAACUUAAGCUAAUACCGCAUACGCUCUACGGGGGAAAGAAGGGGAUCGCAACACCGUUUGCUAAUAGAUGAGCCUGCGUAGGAUAAGCGAGUUGGUGGGGUAAAAGCUCACCAAGGCGGGGAUCAUUAACUGGUUUGAGAGAAUGAGCAGUCACACUGGAACUGAGACACGGUCCAGACUCCGACGGGAGGCAGCAGUGGGGAAUAUUGGACAAUGGGCGAAAGCCUGAUCCAGCAAUACCGCGUGUGUGAAGAAGGCCUUAGGGUUGUAAAGCACUUUCAAUUGGAAGGAAAACCUCGAAGCUAAUACCUUCGAGUUUGACAUUACCUUUAGAAGAAGCACCGGCUAACUCCGUGCCAGCAGCCGCGGUAA
rnacentral:rRNA from 1 species